rnacentral:rRNA from 1 species
AUACGGAGGGUGCAAGCGUUAUCGGGAAUCAUUGGGUUUAAAGGGUCCGUAGGCGGGCUAAUAAGUCAGGGGUGAAAUCCCACAGCUUAACUGUGGAACUGCCCUUGAUACUGUUGGUCUUGAGUUACAGUGAAGUGGUUAGAAUGUGUAGUGUAGCGGUGAAAUGCAUAGAGAUUACACAGAAUACCGAUUGCGAAGGCAGUCUACUAACUGUAUACUGACGCUAAUGGACGAAAGCGUGGGGAGCGAACAGGAUUAGAAACCCCAGUAGUCC